rnacentral:rRNA from 1 species
GAGAGGGUGAUCGGCCACACUGGAACUGAGACACGGUCCAGACUCCUACGGGAGGCAGCAGUAGGGAAUCUUCCGCAAUGGGCGAAAGCCUGACGGAGCAACGCCGCGUGAGUGAUGAAGGUCUUCGGAUCGUAAAACUCUGUUAUUAGGGAAGAACAUAUGUGUAAGUAACUGUGCACAUCUUGACGGUACCUAAUCAGAAAGCCACGGCUAACUACGUGCCAGCAGCCGCGGUAAUACGUAGGUGGCAAGCGUUAUCCGGAAUUAUUGGGCGUAAAGCGCGCGUAGGCGGUUUUUU